GACGAACGCUGGCGGCGUGCCUAAUACAUGCAAGUAGAACGCUGAAGGAGGAGCUUGCUUCUCUGGAUGAGUUGCGAACGGGUGAGUAACGCGUAGGUAACCUGCCUGGUAGCGGGGGAUAACUAUUGGAAACGAUAGCUAAUACCGCAUAAUAGCAGUUGUUGCAUGACAACUGUUUGAAAGGUGCAAUUGCACCACUACCAGAUGGACCUGCGUUGUAUUAGCUAGUUGGUGGGGUAACGGCUCACCAAGGCGACGAUACAUAGCCGACCUGCGAGGGUGAUCGGCCACACUGGGACUGAGACACGGCCCAGACUCCUACGGGAGGCAGCAGUAGGGAAUCUUCGGCAAUGGACGGAAGUCUGACCGAGCAACGCCGCGUGAGUGAAGAAGGUUUUCGGAUCGUAAAGCUCUGUUGUAAGAGAAGAACGAGUGUGAGAGUGGAAAGUUCACACUGUGACGGUAUCUUACCAGAAAGGGACGGCUAACUACGUG
rnacentral:rRNA from 1 species